AUCUGGUUGAUCCUGCCAGUAGUCAUAUGCUUGUUUCAAGGAUUAAGCCAUGCAAGCCUAAGAGUAACUGGUUUAAGGAGGUCUGCGAACGGCUCAUUAAAUCAGCGAUUAUCUACCGGGAGAAUCGCAGUUAACACUGCUGUCAUGGAUAACUUCGCGAAACGCGAAGCUAAUACAUGUACAUAACGUGGUACUUGUCAUCAAACUGCUUUGGGGAAACCUUUAGCAGGGCAAGUGCCUCGCGGAUGGUUGGUACAAAAACCAACGCCAGCAAUGGCAGUGUCCAAAAGCGAUGAAAUCAAACCAUUCAGCAAAAGCGAGUUUCGGCUCGCGAAUCCCGAAGAAUCUCUGCCCUAUCAGCUUUUGACGGUAGUGUAGUGGACUACCGUGGCUAUAACGGGUACGGGGAAUUAGGGUUCGAUUCCGGAGAGGGAGCCUGAGAGAUAGCUACCACUUCUACGGAGGGCAGCAGGCGCGUAAAUUGCCCAAUGCCAAAUUGGCGAGGCAGCGAAGAGAAAUAGCGACCCUGCCUCUUUGAGUGUGGGGUUUGCAAUGGGUGGUAUUUAAACCCACCAACGAGUAACAAUUGGAGGACAAGUCUGGUGCCAGCACCCGCGGUAAUUCCAGCUCCAAUAGCGUAUAUUAACGCUGCUGCUGUUAAAGGGUUCGUAGUUGAAUGCGGAGUAAAGGGAUACUCGUUCGCGAGACCUCCCUGCUCUGUUUAGACGGGACUGGAUGCCAUGCGGAAGACACUAUUAAGUUAGUGUUGGAAGCAGCCUACCGAAGAGGUAAGCCAAUACGCCAUGCAACGCAUGCACUUGGCCGCCCGUCGUUAUUACUGUGAAUAAAACAGCGUGUUCAAGGCAGCCUUCGGCUGAAUGACAAAGCAUGGAAUAACAGGGGAUCGACCGGUGGGUUAAUCUUUUGUUGGUUUUUAAGAUCCAUUUGGAUAAUUUGUGGGCAAAGUGAUUCAUGCAUUCAACUGGGUUCGCCUUGUUUGCACUGGACUUUACGAACCGGGAUUAAUGGGGGUUGUCGGGGAAAACGUAUCGGAGCGUGAGAGGUGAAAUUCUUAGACCGCUCUGGGACGAACUUAUGCGAAGCCAUUUUCCAAGUAUCCCUUCAUCAAUCAAGAACUAAAGUGUGGAGAUCGAAGAUGAUUAGAUACCAUUGUAGUCCACUACUCCAAACGAUGACGCCCAUGGAUUGGAUAGCUUUUUAUUUCAUGGGAUCUCUUCGGCACUGCUCCCCCUUCAACGCGAAAGCUGAGGCUAUGGUCUCAUGGGGGAGUACGUUCGCAAGGCUGAAACUUAA
rnacentral:rRNA from 1 species